GGGUCGAUGCCCGAGCGGUUAAUGGGGACGGACUGUAAAUUCGUUGUGUAAUAUGUCUACGCUGGUUCAAAUCCAGCUCGGCCCA
rnacentral:tRNA from 1 species